rnacentral:tRNA from 1 species
GGUAAAGUAGCCAAGUAGGCGGCGGAUUGUAGCUCCGAAGACAGAGGUUAAACCCUCUCUUUAUCA